rnacentral:lncRNA from 1 species
ACCAUAUUCUAUAUUUGUAUUAAUGUAUGCUAAACUCUUUUUAAUGGUAAAUGAGCAUCGUUCAAUUAUUUUUAUCAAUUAAUUUAGUAAAACUUCAUAAUACUCCCUAAAUCGAUGGAAUAACCACUAUAAAAUUAUUAUUUUCUUGAUAAACGGAGAUGACAAAGACUCCAAACCUCUUUGAACAUCAUCAUAUGUUAGUGAAGGAUGCCACUAGGUAUUAAAACAAUAUUUUCAUAUUUUUUGAAAUUUUCUCAAAAUCUAUGGGCUAACCCCUACAAAAAUAUUGAGUUUUUGGUAAAUUCUUUAUAUACUGAAGCUCAUAAUCUUUAGUGAUGUUUUAAAAUUUCUACCAUAUUAUACACUUGUAUUAAUGUAUGCUAAACUUUUUUCAUGUUAAAUGAGCAUCGUUCAAUUGUUUUUAUCAAUUAAUUUAGGAAAAUUGCAUAAUACUCCCUAAAUCGAUGGAAUAACCACUAUAAAAUUAUUACUUUCUUGAUAAACGGAGACGAAAAAGACUUCAAACCUCUUUGAACAUCAUCAUAUGUUAGUGAAGGAUGCAACCAAGCAUUAAAACAAUAUUGUCAUAUUUUUUGAAAUUUUUUCAAAAUCUUUGGGCUAACCCGUACAAAAAUAUUGAGUUUUUGGUAAAUACUUUAUAUACUAAAGCCUAUAAUCUUUAGUGUUGUUUUAAAAUUUCUAACCAUAUUCUAAAUUUGUAUUAAUGUUUAGUAAAUUCAUUUUCAUGGUAAAUGAGCAUUGUUCAAUUGUUUUUAUCAAUUAAUUUAGUAAAACUUCAUAACACUCCCUAAAUUGAUGGAUAACCACUAUAAAAUUAUUAUUUUCUUGACAAACGGAGACGACAAAGGCUUCAAACCUCUUUGAACAUCAUCAUAUGUUAGUGCAGGAUGCAACUAGGCAUUAAAAAAAUAUUAUCAUAUUUUUUGAAUUUUUCUCAAAAUCUAUGGGAUAACCCCUUCAAAAAUAUUGAGUUUUUGGUAAAUACUUUAUAUACUAAAGCCUAUAAUCUUUAGUGUUGUUUUAAAA